AGAGUGGGUCCGGCGGUCGCCGGGCGCUUUGCGCCCGGAGGAAAGUCCGAGCAGGGCAGGGCACGGUGGUGGCUAACGGCCACCCGGGGCGACCCGAGGGAAAGUGCCGCAGAAAACACACAGCCGAUGGCCUUCGGGCACAGGCAAAGGUGAAAAGGUGCGGUAAGAGCGCACCGCGACGGUGGCGACAUCGUCGGCAUGGUAAACCCCACCGCCUGCAAGACCAAGCAAGCCGGUUGCGAUUCUCUUCGGAGAUUUGCGAUAUCCGGCCCGGAUAGCAACCCGGCGGGUAGGUCGCUUGCCGUUCGCGGCAGAGCCGGCCGGCAACGGCCGGUCAAGUGUAAUGACCGCCGCCCCGCCAACGCGGGGCAACAGAACUCGGCUUACGGACCCACUCUUUUU
rnacentral:RNase_P_RNA from 1 species